rnacentral:rRNA from 1 species
UGAAACUAGAUACAAGCGAGCGGCGGACGGGUGAGUAACACGUGGGUAACCUGCCCAAGAGACUGGGAUAACACCUGGAAACAGAUGCUAAUACCGGAUAACAACACUAGACGCAUGUCUAGAGUUUGAAAGAUGGUUCUGCUAUCACUCUUGGAUGGACCUGCGGUGCAUUAGCUAGUUGGUAAGGUAACGGCUUACCAAGGCAAUGAUGCAUAGCCGAGUUGAGAGACUGAUCGGCCACAUUGGGACUGAGACACGGCCCAAACUCCUACGGGAGGCAGCAGUAGGGAAUCUUCCACAAUGGACGAAAGUCUGAUGGAGCAACGCCGCGUGAGUGAAGAAGGGUUUCGGCUCGUAAAGCUCUGUUGGUAGUGAAGAAAGAUAGAGGUAGUAACUGGCCUUUAUUUGACGGUAAUUACUUAGAAAGUCACGGCUAACUACGUGCCAGCAGCCGCGGUAAUACGUAGGUGGCAAGCGUUGUCCGGAUUUAUUGGGCGUAAAGCGAGUGCAGGCGGUUCAAUAAGUCUGAUGUGAAAGCCUUCGGCUCAACCGGAGAAUUGCAUCAGAAACUGUUGAACUUGAGUGCAGAAGAGGAGAGUGGAACUCCAUGUGUAGCGGUGGAAUGCGUAGAUAUAUGGAAGAACACCAGUGGCGAAGGCGGCUCUCUGGUCUGCAACUGACGCUGAGGCUCGAAAGCAUGGGUAGCGAACAGGAUUAGAUACCCCUGGUAGUCCAUGCCCGUAAACGAUGAAGUGCUAAGUGUUGGGAGGUUU